rnacentral:tRNA from 1 species
UCCCUGGUAGCUCAGUGCUUAAAGCGUCUGCCUGCAAUGCGGGAGACCCAGGUUCAAUCCCUGGGCUGGGAA